CACUUAUGUGUGACCCCCGACCGCUUCUCUCUCCCAACCCCCUGCCGCUCUCGCCCUCCUCGCCGCCGCCGCGUUCCUUGGAGAUCCCCUCCACCUUCGCCGAAGACGAAGCGGGGAGGCCUCCUGCCCUCCUCCACCUCUGUCCGUGCGGAUUUGGUUCUCGCGCCCGGGGAAAUCCGGCGGACGCGGGGCAGGAGCUUGCUUCGCUAAGGUUCGCGCGCCGGCUCGGACGUUUCCGUUGGUGCAUAGGGUCUAGGGUUCGCGGCCGCGGCUGGCGCUAUCGAGGACGGAGGCAGAAGCAGAAGCCAUGAGUGACGGCGAGCGCCACGGCUACGAGAUUCCGACCACCAGCGCCGCAGCUGACGAUCACGAUGAGGAUUAUGUGCAGCCUGGUGGAUGGAAUCACUUCCUGGGGCUUAUGUUUGGCAAUGUUAACGAUUAUGGUGACCUAGACGCUCACCAUCUUGAUGAGGAUCCAAAGGAACUUCUUUUUGCACUGGCUGACAAGCUUGGUCCAUCUCUGAAAGGUAUUUUGUUGUUUGCUUAAAUAGAUGACCGAGUCUUCUCCAGCACCAGCUGAUCCUUCUGAGCACGGCCAUGAUGAGAAAGCAGAUGACGCUGUUAACAUGAAUGUAUUGACAAAGAAUAUGAUGCACCUGAAGCUGAAGCGGCUACAGAAGAGAAGAGCACCAUUUGCUAUCCAAGAAAGAUUACUUCUCCUCGAAUAUAGUGUUUGCAGUUUGCUUCAGUCAAUCCUAAAGCUUCAGUGUUUGAUGAGGAGAAUCAUGUGAGAAUGAAAAACCACCAGUGAUGAAGAACUAACCAAUAAUUAUGAGUUUCAUGGUGAUUGUAAAGUUUCAUUAUUUGAUGAGGAGAAUUAUAACGAGGAUGAAGAAUCACUCUUCAGGAAAUAUAAAUACCCAGGCACAAAAGGCUAUGCCGGAUUGCCAUGUGGCAUGCAACAGCACAGCAACAUGACUACACAAUUAGACAAAGGAAGUUUUUUCUCUGGUUGACAAGACAGAUUAUUUUCUUGCUGAAAAGACACUAUGACUGAAACUUGUUACUGCUAGUUGCAGAGGUUAUUACCUUGCCAACAGAAGAAACGGAAUCAAUAAUGCAGCUGGGAGUCUGGGAUGAUGGAUUGCUAUCUCCCCCUUCAUGAGAAAAGCUGCUGGCAGCUUCUGUAGCUGUUGACAAAGAAUCGAAUGCCUGCCUGUCCUGUAGAGAAGAACAAGAAAAACAUCGGGCAAUUGUCAUGGAUCCUUUUUAUAUUGAUAAGGAGACAUUGAGAUGAGUUGCAGCAUGAAGCUUGUUUUAACAAAUCAGGAAAAAUAUAAGCGCCACCACCUAGCCUUUGCAGCUUUACAACUCCACUGAGUGACAAAUCCAGGGCCAACACUUUGGGGGGACAAGGAUUACCAAGAAACAACAGUAGUACAACAGAAACAAAUGUCCCAGCUUGCUUACAGCUUACUCAAUUCUAACCGAGUUCAGUUUAUUAGCAAAAAAACUAGGACAGCAAUAAGAGAUAGUGUAAGAUCAGCAACGAGCAAAACAAAGUUAACCGUGAAAGAGAGUAACCUUUUAGUCCUCAAAAUUUUGGCAAAAUGGACCUGGUCUUUGGCAAAAUGGGAAGGUUGUGCACAUGCCCGUGAAAGAGAGUAACCUUUUAGUCCUCAAGAUUUUGUUCUGUGACCUUCAGUGAACUGAGAUCAGAAACUUCUGUAGAAGAAUAUUCCGGACUAUUAGCAUGGAACUGCUAUCUGCGAUCUCAGCAUAUUUCAGAGGUUCCAUGUACCCUCUGGAUUCAUCAGUAUCCAGUGUAUCCAAUUCAUCAUCUGAAACAACAAAGCCAUACAAAGAUGUGUUUUCUGGCGAUAUAACAUUGUUGGGCUCAUACAGAGAAACUGAAUCAGGUUCAUCAAGACUUGUCUCCUCCAGCGGUGCCUUAGCUUUCAGACAAUAGACUUGGCAGAAGAAUCUGCAUCUGCAAUGGUAAGAAGCUGGGACUUAAACAGGAGAUCUCUGCCAGAAACUUGAAGGUGGUCUUUGGAAGGGUGCAGGACAAAGCUUCAGCCCUUCAUGAGUACAUUGCUUCUGCAUGUUUGAUCAAAAUUCUGUUCUUUCUCAUCACUGCUCUUCUUUGGUCAAAGGAUGGUUUCCUGAGCAAAUUAAGGAGGGAGCCAACACUGCCCCUUUCACCCUGAGACUUUGCAGGUUCAGGCUUCUUGUCUUCUCUGCCUUUUCCCCUAGCUGGCAAUUGCGUUUGAACCCUGCUAAAUAACACUUGAAUCACCUGGGGCUUCUUGGUAGCUGAGCCCUCCUUGCUGAAAUACAGCUCAUUGGCUGCAUUUUACUCUGAACUUGCAUUUCUGUGAAGGUGCACAUUUCGUGGCUUGCUGGCAAGGGAGAUAGUAGCUGAUAGUAGUACUGAAGAAAGCGAAGAUGGCUUCUUGUCUGAUACAAUGCCGGUCGGAGCUUCCAUGAGGCCAACAGUAAAAGUGGCACCAAAUGUCUGAAGUACAAGUGGCCAACACUGUUCGAAUGUGAAAAAAGGUAUACUGGACGUUUCAAGUUUGUCAAAAUUUGGAUGCAUCUAGACAUGACUUAGUGUAUAGAUGCAUUCAAAUUUAGUCAAAGUUGAGACAUCUUUUCUUGGACGGAGGAAGUAGAACAUGUGCAAAUCCCAUAAUCUAGAGAUAUAGGAUAUAUUGUAGGCAUGAGAAAACAUAAGCAAGAUUUACUUAGAUAAUGGAAGUGGAGGCGACCACAUGUAACUAAGGCACUAAGUCAAAAUAGACGCUCUAAUUAUUUGUGUAUUGACAAACUGAAAAUGACCAGUGGAUUUCGUCUCGUGUCUCUGCGGCAUCAACAUAAAAAAACUUACACCCA